ensembl:lncRNA
CUUGUUGUUCCUCAUACAUAACAAGGCAUACAGCUCCCACAUCUGCGUCUUUGACUGACUGGUCUCCAUGCUUUACAUUCCAGGUGAAAGAGAGGGAAAGGGAAGAGAGAAGAAUAAGCAUUUAUUAUGUGCCUACUAUGUGCCAAGGCUCCAUGUCAAACACUUACUUCUGGUGGCUCCUUUGUGAAAUCAUCCCAUGUUUCUCUGAAUGCCUCCUAUUUGCCAUUUCCUCCUACACAGAUGAGGAAAUUGAGGCACACAGAGAUGAAGUGACAUGCUCAGGAUCAAUAUCUAAGGGACUCACAAUCUAUAAC